AUUGAACGCUGGCGGCAUGCUUUACACAUGCAAGUCGAACGGUAACAGGCCGCAAGGUGCUGACGAGUGGCGAACGGGUGAGUAAUGCAUCGGAACGUGCCCAGUCGUGGGGGAUAACUACUCGAAAGAGUAGCUAAUACCGCAUACGAUCUAUGGAUGAAAGCGGGGGACCGUAAGGCCUCGCGCGAUUGGAGCGGCCGAUGUCAGAUUAGGUAGUUGGUGGGGUAAAGGCUCACCAAGCCAACGAUCUGUAGCUGGUCUGAGAGGACGACCAGCCACACUGGAACUGAGACACGGCCCAGACUCCUACGGGAGGCAGCAGUGGGGAAUUUUGGACAAUGGGCGCAAGCCUGAUCCAGCAAUGCCGCGUGCAGGAAGAAGGCCUUCGGGUUGUAAACUGCUUUUGUACGGAACGAAACGGCUCUGGUUAAUACCCGGGGCUAAUGACGGUACCGUAAGAAUAGGCACCGGCUAACUACGUG
rnacentral:rRNA from 1 species